UCAGACACGCAGGCCCAGCGGCCAUGGCUCACGGGCCUAGCUGCUCUGCAGCAUGUGGGAUCUUCCCGGACCGGGACACGAACCCGUGUCCCCUGCAUCGGCAGGCGGACUCUCAACCACUGCGCCACCAGGGAAGCCCUGAGGUUCAAGUUCGAUUAGCUCUGCAUGUGGGAUCUUAGUUCCCGGACCAGGAAUGGAACCCGCGCUCCCUGCUGUGGAAGCACGGAGUCUUAACCACUGGACCACCAGGGAAGUCCCUAAAGCUUACUUUUUAUCUCUCUCCCACACACCAAUUGCUUCCACAUUUGACCUGGUCACCACACUUUGAAUGACCAUGCCCCUCUUUCCCACGAGCCCCAGUGCUCCAUGAGGACAGAAGCAGGGAGUCUCAUUCUCCCUUUGAACCCCAGCACCUAGCACAGUUUUUAGAACUUGGUGUAAUGAUCAAUAAAUAUUUGUUGAAUGAA